rnacentral:rRNA from 1 species
UACAGAGGUCCCAAGCGUUGUUCGGAUUCAUUGGGCGUAAAGGGUGCGUAGGUGGCGCGCUAAGUCAGGUGUGAAAUUUCGGAGCUUAACUCCGAAACUGCAUUUGAUACUGGCGUGCUUGAGGACUGGAGAGGAGACUGGAAUUCAUGGUGUAGCAGUGAAAUGCGUAGAGAUCAUGAGGAAGACCAGUGGCGAAGGCGGGUCUCUGGACAGUUCCUGACACUGAGGCACGAAGGCCAGGGGAGCAAACGGG